rnacentral:sRNA from 2 species
AGCUGUUCCCCUCUGGAGGUUUUGACCUUCACAACUGACGGGCCCUGGAGAAAUCCGGCGGCCCAUUUUUUUUAAAAAA